GACGUAGGGCGCGAGCGUUGUCCGGAUUUAUUGGGCGUAAAGAGCUCGUAGGCGGCUUGUCGCGUCGACUGUGAAAACUUGGGGCUCAACCCCAAGCUUGCAGUCGAUACGGGCAGGCUAGAGUUCGGUAGGGGGAGACUGGAAUUCCUGGUGUAGCGGUGAAAUGCGCAGAUAUCAGGAGGAACACCGAUGGCGAAGGCAGGUCUCUGGGCCGAUACUGACGCUGAGGAGCGAAAAGCGUGGGGGAGCGAACAGG
rnacentral:rRNA from 1 species